GACGAACGCUGGCGGCGUGCUUAACACAUGCAAGUCGAACGGAAAGGCCCUGCUUUUGUGGGGUGCUCGAGUGGCGAACGGGUGAGUAACACGUGAGUAACCUGCCCUUGACUUUGGGAUAACUUCAGGAAACUGGGGCUAAUACCGGAUAGGAGCUCCUGCUGCAUGGUGGGGGUUGGAAAGUUUCGGCGGGUGGGGCUGGACUCGCGGCUUAUCAGCUUGUUGGUGGGGUAGUGGCUUACCAAGGCUUUGACGGGUAGCCGGCCUGGGAGGGUGACCGGCCACAUUGGGCCUGAGAUACGGCCCAGACGCCUACGGGGGGCAGCAGUGGGGAGUAUUGCACAGUGGGCGGAAGCCUGAUGCAGCAACGCCGCGUGCGGGAUGACGGCCUUCGGGUUGUAAACCGCUUUCGCCUGUGACGAAGCGUGAGUGACGGUAAUGGGUAAAGAAGCACCGGCUAACUACGUG
rnacentral:rRNA from 1 species